rnacentral:rRNA from 1 species
UACGAAGGGGGCUAGCGUUGUUCGGAAUUACUGGGCGUAAAGAGUGUGUAGGCGGUGUUCUAAGUUUGGUGUGAAAUCUCCCGGCUCAACUGGGAGGGUGCGCCGAAAACUGGAAUGCUAGAGUAUGGGAGAGGUAAGCGGAAUUCCUGGUGUAGCGGUGAAAUGCGUAGAUAUCAGGAGGAACACCUGUGGUGUAGACAGCUUACUGGACCAUCACUGACGCUGAGACACGAAAGCGUGGGUAGCAAACAGG